rnacentral:lncRNA from 1 species
GCCCUUGUUAUUCUUCCCCGAGUAAAAGCAAGGCUGGAAGUAAACAAAUGUUGAAAUACCCAUCACGCAGGGCUGGAAAUUCCCCAGUUCAGCGUGAAACAUCGCGCAGGGCUGGACUUUCCCAUCCCCGGUAAUGCAGCCACGGAACGAGGUGCAGAAUAACUGCCCUGACUCGCCUUGUCCACCCCUGCUGUAAACCCAUUUCCAGGCAGCUCUGGCAAGUCGCGUGAAAGUCCAUUUACAGCUUUGACGACCCUAUUCAUUCAAUUGCGCCUCAGUCUAAAUGUUGCAACCGCCCUAAAAAGGAAAGACAGUGGAGAAUUCAGUAAAUUGAGAUUUCAGAAUCCCCAAAUUCACUAGCCUUUGGGGCUUUGAUUCCCAAAACGUUGCUCCCCCACUUUUGGUGAAAACUGAAGACGAGAGUUCCAGAAUUUCCCCAAUUUCUCCUAAAAUUUCCAGAUGUGGACCAACCAAUUGAGGAGAACCAUUAGUAUUUUGAGUCCAAAUAUUUAAACAUCUUUUUUUUAAAAAUGAGAACCCCAUUGCAUUUUCGGACAUUGAUAUCCCCCUAUCGAAUAUAUAGCGAAAUGGCUGCGUGAGUUUCUCCCUCAAAAAAUUUGGCAACUAACAGAACGGUAAUCGGCAACGCGCACAGGCGAAGGUGUGCAGUGUAUCUCCCGUGGAUAGAGUCCCCGUGCCCAGCAGUAUGGCAGAAUGAGAGAGAGGGAAGGUCGGCGGCGUGGUGUGGUGUCGCUUCUGAUCUACCAUGAAGACCCAAGCCAUUCUAGCUUUCCCAGAGAUCCCGCGGCCGCAAUUAUCAGAGACAGGUGUGUGGCGUCAGUCUGACCUUCUUCUUCUUCAGCUGGGCGAUGGUGAGGUCCGAUUUCAGGUUUCCACCUAAUAUGGCGAUACAUUUUUGGAAUUUUCCCUCAUUCACGUGAAGAACCACAUAGAAAUUUGAGGCAGAUUUUGUAGAUUCCAGCCGAUCCCCUUUCUCCCGAUAGUACUUUUCCCAAAUUCAAAUUUUCGCUAAUCGGCCUCUAAUUUGGUGAGAAGAAUUACCAGCAAAAGUUUUCGCAGGAGGAAACACUUAGCCAUUUACCCAAAACUUUUGAGACUAUAUAUUUACCACUUUUUCCAAAAGAAAUUCGCUCAAGCUCUAUUCCCCAAAAUUUUCCCCCCUUUUCCCCAAAAAUCAAGAGAUUCACCAUUUUUUCUAUAGAAAACCGAGAGAGAGUUGAAGAUUAUGCAAUUGUAAGAAAUUCCCCAAAGCUACCAAGCUAAUUUUUUUUUUUUUUUUUUUUUUUUUUUUAGUUUUUCAUAUUUUUCUAGAGAGAAUCUUAUAGGAGUGGAAAUUUAAAAUGCCGAAUCCCUUAUGUUUUUUCUUUUAAAAUGCUCUCUCUUAUCAUAGAAAGUAAUUUAUGCCUUAAAAGACUAAAUUACCCUUAAUUGGGUCAACAUCAAAUGUAAUCAUAUGACACUUCUUACACAUUCUUACAGACUCAUCACUUUCAAUGCAUUUUUUUACAAGAAUUAGUGAUGUUGACCAAAUUCAUGGUUUUGAGUGCAUUAAAAAUUGUGUUUUUUGUUUUUAUUAUUUAUUUUAAGUGCAUGAAUGCAUGCGAAUUUUUUAUUUUCCUUUUUUCUUUUUCUUUUUUGACAUUUUUCUGGGACAUCAUUCAUUAUUAAUGGGCAAAAAUGUGGAGUGGAAAUUAAUGUGUCCGAGCGUGUGUAUGUAUGUAUAUAUAUUUUUGAACGUUACUAUUAACACUAUAUA